AUGAACAAAAUAAAGGGGAAGAGGCUAUCCAAGUUCGAGCUCUCUGUAGAAGAUGCGGGGCAGCGAUUGAAGAUUGCCAAAGAGGACCAAACAUCUCUCGCUACCUUACCCAAAUUUGAGCUUGACAUCGAUUGUGAUAUUUUGGAUUACAUUAAUCUUCUGAAGGAUAGAAUGUUUCACCACCGAACACGUGGGUCGUAUUACUUCGGUGGUGGAGUCGUGGCCACCCCACCAAUGGGCGGUGAUGAGACAUUCAACAUGAUUGAAUUCAUGGAGACAACCCAGCGAGGCUCUAAGCGUUCUGUUAUGCAGUGCAUUUUUAGCGAUAAUGAUCUUUACUAUCAAUUGUUUAGAGCAACUAUACUCCAGGCAACUUUUACAGACUUGGUGGUACUAAAAGGGAGUCCCCGGAGAAGUUAUUUGGAAAGCUUAAUGAUGUCAUAG
rnacentral:rRNA from 1 species